CAUGAGUGGCGGACGGGUGAGUAACGCGUGGGCAACCUGCCCUGUACAGGGGGACAACACUUAGAAAUAGGUGCUAAUACCGCAUAACGGGGGGAGCCGCAUGGCACCCCCCUGAAAACUCCGGUGGUACAGGAUGGGCCCGCGUCUGAUUAGCCAGUUGGCAGGGUAACGGCCUACCAAAGCGACGAUCAGUAGCCGGCCUGAGAGGGCGGACGGCCACACUGGGACUGAGACACGGCCCAGACUCCUACGGAAGGCAGCAG
rnacentral:rRNA from 1 species